rnacentral:rRNA from 1 species
GGGAUAACACUUGGAAUCAGGUGUUAAUACCGUAUAACACUAUUUUCCGCAUGGAAGAAAGUUGAAAGGCGCUUUUGCGUCACUGAUGGAUGGACCCGCGGUGCAUUAGCUAGUUGGUGAGGUAACGGCUCACCAAGGCCACGAUGCAUAGCCGACCUGAGAGGGUGAUCGGCCACACUGGGACUGAGACACGGCCCAGACUCCUACGGGAGGCAGCAGUAGGGAAUCUUCGGCAAUGGACGAAAGUCUGACCGAGCAACGCCGCGUGAGUGAAGAAGGUUUUCGGAUCGUAAAACUCUGUUGUUAGAGAAGAACAAGGAUGAGAGUAAAAUGUUCAUCCCUUGACGGUAUCUAACCAGAAAGCCACGGCUAACUACGUGCCAGCAGCCGCGGUAAUACGUAGGUGGCAAGCGUUGUCCGGAUUUAUUGGGCGUAAAGCGAGCGCAGGCGGUUUCUUAAGUCUGAUGUGAAAGCCCCCGGCUCAACCGGGGAGGGUCAUUGGAAACUGGGAGACUUGAGUGCAGAAGAGGAGAGUGGAAUUCCAUGUGUAGCGGUGAAAUGCGUAGAUAUAUGGAGGAACACCAGUGGCGAAGGCGGCUCUCUGGUCUGUAACUGACGCUGAGGCUCGAAAGCGUGGGGAGCGAACAGGAUUAGAUACCCUGGUAGUCCACGCCGUAAACGAUGAGUAUAGGUGUUGGAGGGUUUCCGCCCUUCAGUGCUGCAGCA